rnacentral:rRNA from 1 species
CGGCGGACGGGUGAGUAACACGUGGAUAACCUACCUAUAAGACUGGGAUAACUUCGGGAAACCGGAGCUAAUACCGUAUAAUAUAUUGAACCGCAUGGUUCAAUAGUGAAAGACGGUUUUGCUGUCACUUAUAGAUGGAUCCGCGCCGCAUUAGCUAGUUGGUAAGGUAACGGCUUACCAAGGCAACGAUGCGUAGCCGACCUGAGAGGGUGAUCGGCCACACUGGAACUGAGACACGGUCCAGACUCCUACGGGAGGCAGCAGCC